rnacentral:rRNA from 1 species
AGUGAACGCUGGCGGUAGGCCUAACACAUGCAAGUCGAACGGCAGCACAGUAAGAGCUUGCUCUUACGGGUGGCGAGUGGCGGACGGGUGAGGAAUACAUCGGAAUCUACUUUUUCGUGGGGGAUAACGUAGGGAAACUUACGCUAAUACCGCAUACGACCUACGGGUGAAAGCAUGGGAUCUUCUGACCUUGCGCGAUUGAAUGAGCCGAUGUCGGAUUAGCUAGUUGGCGGGGUAAAGGCCCACCAAGGCGACGAUCCGUAGCUGGUCUGAGAGGAUGAUCAGCCACACUGGAACUGAGACACGGUCCAGACUACUACGGGAGGCAGCAGUGGGGAAUAUUGGACAAUGGGCGCAAGCCUGAUCCAGCCAUACCGCGUGGGUGAAGAAGGCCUUCGGGUUGUAAAGCCCUUUUGUUGGGAAAGAAAAGCAGCAGGUUAAUACCACGCUGUUCUGACGGUACCCAAAGAAUAAGCACCGGCUAACUUCGUG